CGUUGGGCUACACACGUGGUCACCCUCCUGACGGACUCUGAACUUUGUGCCCAGUGUCUGUAGAAGUGGCAUACCGAUGGAAAAACCAGACCCCCGAUAAAAAACCUCAGGACUCAGACUUGGACUCUCUGUCACCUAAAAGUGGAUUUGCCUGUGAAGUCAGUUGAUCCUGGACUUUUGUUGGGGUUUUUUUAAUCCCAGUUUCAACUUCGGUACUUGUGAUUGGCCUGCUCGUAUUUCCCAUUUCUUCCUGCUUCCUGCUCACGUGGAUGCUGGGCAUAGAGCUCAAAGUCCACAGCCCGGCCCAGGAUGGAGUCCUGCUUUCAAGAUGGAGCCUGUUGUGUUUCCGCCUUCAUACAGAC
ensembl:lncRNA